CCAAUAGCGUAUAUUAAAGUUGCUGCAGUUAAAAAGCUCGUAGUUGAAUUUCGGGAUCAAUAUGUUGGUCGUGCCUUAGUACGUACUAGCUUGUUGAUUUCUCCCUUCUGACGAACCAUGAUGUCAUUAAUUUGGUGUCAUGGGGAAUCAGAACUGUUACUUUGAAAAAAUUAGAGUGUUUAAAGCAGGCUCACGCUUGAAUACAUUAGCAUGGAAUAAUGAAAUAGGACGUUUGAUUCUAUUUUGUUGGUUUCUAGGAUUGACGUAAUGAUUAAUAGGGAUAGUUGGGGGCAUUAGUAUUCAAUUGUCAGAGGUGAAAUUCUUGGAUUUAUUGAAGACUAACUACUGCGAAAGCAUUUGCCAAGGAUGUUUUCAUUAAUCAAGAACGAAAGUUAGGGGGAUCGAAGACGAUCAGAUACCGUCGUAGUCUUAACCAUAAACUAUGCCGACUAGGGAUCGGAUGAUGUUAAUUUUUUAAUGACUCAUUCGGCGCCUUACG
rnacentral:rRNA from 1 species